CCCUUAGAUGUUCUGGGCCGCACGCGCGCUACACUGAUUCAUGCAACAAGUUUUGUCCUUGGCUGAUAGGCCUGGGUAAUCUUUGAACGUGAAUCGUGAUGGGGAUAGAUGAUUGCAAUUAUUCAUCUUCAACGAGGAAUUCCUAGUAAACGCAAGUCAUCAGCUUGCAUUGAUUACGUCCCUGCCCUUUGUACACACCGCCCGUCGCACCUACCGAUUGAAUGGUCCGGUGAAAUCUUCGGAUCUGAGAGAUGUCUGAUUAAUUUCGGACGCCUUUUGGAAAAUUUGUUUAAACCUUACCAUUUAGAGGAAGGUGAAGUCGUAACA
rnacentral:rRNA from 1 species